CAGCAGCCACGGUAAUACAGAGGGUGCGAGCGUUAAUCGGAUUUACUGGGCGUAAAGCGUGCGUAGGCGGCUUUUUAAGUCGGAUGUGAAAUCCCUGAGCUUAACUUGGGAAUUGCAUUCGAUACUGGUUAGCUAGAGUGUGGGAGAGGAUGGUAGAAUUCCAGGUGUAGCGGUGAAAUGCGUAGAGAUCUGGAGGAAUACCGAUGGCGAAGGCAGCCAUCUGGCCUAACACUGACGCUGAGGUACGAAAGCAUGGGGAGCAAACAGGAUUAGAUACCCGUGUAGUCCCUGUCUCUUAUAC
rnacentral:rRNA from 1 species